rnacentral:rRNA from 1 species
CCUACGGGAGGCUGCAGUGAGGAAUAUUGGUCAAUGGCCGGAAGGCUGAACCAGCCAUGCCGCGUGAAGGUCAGUGCCCUAUGGGCGUUAAACUUCUUUUGUGCGGGAGCAAUAAUGGUCACGUGUGGCCAGACGAGAGUACCGUACGAAUAAGCAUCGGCUAACUCCGUGCCAGCAGCCGCGGUUAUACGGGGGAUGCAAGCGUUAUCCGGAUUUUUUGGGUUUAAAGGGUGCGUAGGCUGUGAGGUAAGUCAGCGGUGAAAUGCCCCCGCUCAACGGGGUGAAGUGCCAUUGAUACUGGCGUGCUGGAGUGGGGAUGAGGUGGGAGGAAUGUGUGGUGGAGCGGUGAAAUGCAUAGAUAUCACACAGAACACCGAUUGCGAAGGCAUCUCACGAAUCCGCGAUUGACGCUGAUGCACGAAAGCGUGGGUAUCAAACAGGAUUAGAUACCCGUGUAGUC